rnacentral:rRNA from 1 species
GUCGAGCGCACCUUCGGGUGAGCGGCGGACGGGUGAGUAACGCGUGGGAAUGUGCCCUUUGGUACGGAACAACUGAGGGAAACUUCAGCUAAUACCGUAUGUGCCCUUCGGGGGAAAGAUUUAUCGCCAUUGGAGCAGCCCGCGUUGGAUUAGCUAGUUGGUAGGGUAAAAGCCUACCAAGGCUACGAUCCAUAGCUGGUCUGAGAGGAUGAUCAGCCACACUGGGACUGAGACACGGCCCAGACUCCUACGGGAGGCAGCAGUAGGGAAUCUUGCGCAAUGGGCGAAAGCCUGACGCAGCCAUGCCGCGUGAAUGAUGAAGGUCUUAGGAUUGUAAAAUUCUUUCACCGGGGAAGAUAAUGACGGUACCCGGAGAAGAAGCCCCGGCUAACUUCGUGCCAGCAGCCGCG